AUUUAAAUUCCUACAACAUAUCAUUAAUGAACUGGAUCCCAUUAGAACUCCUCAGUUAAUCAUGGUUGGGGUAGAGUAAUACUGGGAUGGGUGACUGCCUAGGAAGUCCUUGUGUUUUGCAUG
rfam:Picea glauca, whole genome shotgun sequence.